UACGGGGGGGGGCAAGCGUUUGUUCGGAAUUACUGGGCGUAAAGGGCUCGUAGGCGGCCAACUAAGUCAGACGUGAAAUCCCUCGGCUUAACCGGGGAACUGCGUCUGAUACUGGAUGGCUUGAGGUUGGGAGAGGGAUGCGGAAUUCCAGGUGUAGCGGUGAAAUGCGUAGAUAUCUGGAGGAACACCGGUGGCGAAGGCGGCGACCUGGUCCUUGACUGACGCUGAGGCGCGAAGGCCAGGGGAGCAAACGGG
rnacentral:rRNA from 1 species